CUAGAACACUCCUGUUAACCCUGUCAGUUCUAGAACACUCCUGUUAACCCUGUCAGUUCUAGAACACUCCUGUUAACCCUGUCAGUUCUAGAACACUCCUGUUAACCCUGUCAGUUCUAGAACAUUCCUGUUAACCCUGUCAGUUCUAGAACACUCCUGUUAACCCUGUCAGUUCUAGAACACUCCUGUUAACCCUGUCAGUUCUAGAACACUCCUGUUAACCCUGUCAGUUCUAGAACACUCCUGUUAACCCUGUCAGUUCUAGAACAUUCCUGUUAACCCUGUCAGUUCUAGAACACUCCUGUUAACCCUGUCAGUUCUAGAACACUCCUGUUAACCCUGUCAGUUCUAGAACACUCCUGUUAACCCUGUCAGUUCUAGAACACUCCUGUUAACCCUGUCAGUUCUAGAACAUUCUUGUUGACCCUGUCAGUUCUAGAACAUUCCUGUUGACCCUGUCAGUUCUAGAACAUGAACACUACUACAGUCAGAUAAAUACACUGACAGGAUCCCAGUCUGGUCCGGCCACACUACACUACCCAGAGUUCCACAGCAGGUUUAGUCACACGGUAGUCAGGUUAUUGCCUUGCUAAUGGCUGGUGUUAUACACUGUUACUAUGGUUACUGUGAGAGAGACAGAGCUAGUGACGUUAACAGAACUACAGUAGGCCGGUGAAAUGGUUGGUGAAAUGGUCGGUGAAAUGGUCGGUGAAAUGGUCGGUGAAAUGGUUGGUGUCUGUGUCCGGGGGGACUGAGGUGACCAUUGUGACACUGAGUUCAAACACAGAGGCCACACAACAUACAUUGUUCUGUUCUGACGAGAGAGCGAGAGAGAGAGAGAGAGAGAGAGUUUGGCUUCUCUCCUCUCUUUGUGUUGUAGUGUCUCUGUAGUGUCUCUGUCUCUCUAGACCUGGUUGUAGUGUCUCUCUAGACCAGGUUGUAGUGUCUCUCUAGACCAGGUUGUAGUGUCUCUGUAGUGUCUCUCUAGACCAGGUUGUAGUGUCUCUGUAGUGUCUAUCUAGACCAGGUUGUAGUGUCUCUCUAGACCAGGUUGUAGUGUCUCUCUAGACCAGGUUGUAGUGUCUCUCUAGACCAGGUUGUAGUGUCUAUCUAGACCAGGUUGUAGUGUCUCUGUAGUAUCUCUCUAGACCAGAUUGUAGUGUCUCUGUCUCUCUAGACCAGGUUGUAGUGUCUCUCUAGACCAGGUUGUAGUGUCUCUGUAGUAUCUCUCUAGACCAGGUUGUAGUAUCUCUCUAGACCAGGUUGUAGUGUCUCUGUAGUAUCUCUCUAGACCAGGUUGUAGUGUCUCUCUAGACCAGGUUGUAGUGUCUCUGUAGUGUCUAUCUAGACCAGGUUGUAGUAUCUCUCUAGACCAGGUUGUAGUGUCUCUGUAGUAUCUCUCUAGACCAGGUUGUAGUGUCUAUCUAGACCAGGUUGUAGUGUCUCUGUAGUAUCUCUCUAGACCAGGUUGUAGUGUCUCUCUAGACCAGGUUGUAGUAUCUCUCUAGACCAGGUUGUAGUGUCUCUGUAGUAUCUCUCUAGACCAGGUUGUAGUGUCUCUCUAGACCAGGUUGUAGUGUGUAUCUAGACCAGGUUGUAGUGUCUCUCUAGACCAGGUUGUAGUGUCUAUCUAGACCAGGUUGUAGUGUCUCUCUAGACCAGGUUGUAGUAUCUCUCUAGACCAGGUUGUAGUGUCUCUCUAGACCAGGUUGUAGUGUCUCUGUAGUGUCUCUGUAGUAUCUCUCUAGACCAGGUUGUAGUGUCUCUGUAGUAUCUCUCUAGACCAGGUUGUAGUGUCUAUCUAGACCAGGUUGUAGUGUCUCUGUAGUAUCUCUCUAGACCAGGUUGUAGUGUCUCUGUAGUAUCUCUCUAGACCAGGUUGUAGUGUAUAUCUAGACCAGGUUGUAGUGUCUAUCUAGACCAGGUUGUAGUGUCUCUGUAGUGUCUCUCUAGACCAGGUUGUAGUGUCUCUGUAGUGUCUAUCUAGACCAGGUUGUAGUGUCUCUCUAGACCAGGUUGUAGUGUCUCUGUCUCUCUAGACCAGGUUGUAGUAUCUCUCUAGACCAGGUUGUAGUGUCUCUCUAGACCAGGUUGUAGUGUCUCUGUCUCUCUAGACCAGGUUGUAGUGUCUCUCUAGACCAGGUUGUAGUGUCUCUCUAGACCAGGUUGUAGUGUCUCUCUAGACCAGGUUGUAGUGUCUCUCUAGACCAGGUUGUAGUGUCUCUCUAGACCAGGUUGUAGUGUAUAUCUAGACCAGGUUGUAGUGUCUCUCUAGACCAGGUUGUAGUGUCUCUCUAGACCAGGUUGUAGUGUCUCUCUAGACCAGGUUGUAGUGUCUCUGUCUCUCUAGACCAGGUUGUAGUGUCUCUCUAGACCAGGUUAUAGUGUCUCUCUAGACCAGGUUGUAGUGUCUCUCUAGACCAGGUUGUAGUGUCUCUGUAGUAUCUCUCUAGACCAGGUUGUAGUAUCUCUCUAGACCAGGUUGUAGUGUCUCUGUAGUAUCUCUCUAGACCAGGUUGUAGUGUCUCUCUAGACCAGGUUGUAAAGUAACAGGUCUUUAUCUCCAGGAUAACUGAAACAUGAACAACACUACAACCAUGUUAGAUUAACAAAGCUACGACCAGGUGAUAUUAACAACACUACGACCAGGUUAGAUUAACGACCAGGUUAGAUUAACGACCAGGUUAGAUUAACAACACUACGACCAGGUUAGAUUAACAACACUACGACCAGGUUAGAUUAACAACACUACGGCCAGGUUAGAUUAACAACCCUACAACCAGGUUAGAUUAACAACACUACGACCAGGUUAUCUGAACAACACUACGACAAGGUUAGAUUAACAACACAACGACCAGGUUAGAUUAACGACCAGGUUAUAUUAUCAACACUAUGAUCAUGUUAGAUUAACAACACUACGACCAGGUUAGAUUAACAACACUACGGCCAGGUUAGAUUAACAACACUACGACCAGGUUAGAUUAACAACAGUACGACCAGGUUAGAUUAACAACACUACAACUAGGUUAGAUUAACGACCAGGUUAGAAUAACAACACUACGACCAGGUUAGAAUAACAACCAGGUUAGUUUAACAACACUACGACCAGGUUAGAUUAACAACAGUACGACCAGGUUACAUUAACAACACUACAACCAGGUUAGAUUAACGACCAGGUUAGAAUAACGACCAGGUUAUAUUAACAACACUACGACCAGGCACACACAGUCUCAAAUGGAACCCUUUUCCACAGCUCCCUAUGUGGCCCCUGGUCAAAAGUAGUGCACUAUGUAGGGGAUAGAGUACCAUUUGGGUCAACCCCAAACUAAUCUUCCUCUGUGCUGAACCCCUCCACAGAACCAGUGAACCAUCUUGACCGGUUCUGUGGCUCAGGACCCUCCUGGGUCCCCAGUGUUGUGGAACAUUACCGAAUAAACAGGUUUACAAAGUUAUUGUUGUGUGGGUUUUUUUUCCGUUCACUUGCAUCCUCCCCUCCCCUCCCCCCGUUCAGGAUGAAAAUGGUUUAGUCCACUGACUCCGCUCAGCUGUCCAUCACACACUCUCCAUAAUGAUCACCACAGAAUCCUCCUCAGCCAAUGGGGUGUCUCCUGGGGCGGGGCUACACAGGGUUAGUCCCUCCCCUGACACCUGAUCUCUAACCGGGCAGUCCAGGCUGUCGUGGAGCUCGCUCACCCCUUCCACUUCUCCUUCAUCGCCUCCUCCUCCUCUCCUCCCUUCCCCUGCUUCCUCCACUCCCUCCUCCUCCUCCUCUUCCUCCUCCUCCUCCUCCUCCUCCUCCUCCUCGUCUUCCUCAACCUGACAGCGGCACACCUCGAUGCCCGAGUCCCCUGUUAGACGGCGGUGACGAUACUGACUCGCAUCAGCCCCAACUUCCUCCUGCUCUUCCUCUUCCUCCUCCUCCUCCUCUCCCUCGCUCCUGUAGGUGUGGGGGACAAGCUGGUACACGUCCACGCAGGGGGAGAACAGGGUCUGCUUGGGGGGAGACUGGGUGGGCCUGGGGGAGAAAGGGGGAGGAGAGGAGGGGGAGAAAGGGGGAGGAGAGGACAAGGGAGAGACAGGGGGAGGAAAGCAGGAGGGAGAGACCGAGAGGGUAGAGGCUGGGGAGAGCGUAGAGGCUGGGGAGAGCGCAGAGAGGGUAGGGGCUAGAGAGGCUAGGGUUAGGGUAGGAGAAUGGGCUGGGGAGAGCGCAGAGAGGGUAGGAGGUUGGGCUGGGGAGAGCGCAGAGAGGGUAGGGGCUGGAGAGGCUAGGGUUAGGGUAGGAGUUUGGGCUGGGGAGAGCGUAGAGAGGGUAGGGGCUAGAGAGGCUAGGGUUAGGGUAGGAGUUUGGGCUGGGGAGAGCGCAGAGAGGGUAGGGGCUGGAGAGGCUAGGGUUAGGGUAGGAGAAUGGGCUGGGGAGAGCGCAGAGAGGGUAGGAGGUUGGGCUGGGG
rnacentral:lncRNA from 1 species